rnacentral:lncRNA from 1 species
GCUGGGAUCACUGCACCUGGCUGUACUCAUUUUAAAAGAGCAGAUUGUACACGCUUAGAAAAUGUAAGUAGCCCACCCAAGGAUACUGAGCUUAGCAGAACCCAGGUGUCCUGACUCCUGAUCUGGUUCUCUUCCCAUUAAUACCACAAAGAUAUGUCUUCUGGAUGGAAGAAAUAAACAUGUUUCACAAUGAUAAAUCUCCCCUUGAAAGGACAGAGUGUUUGUGUCUUCUUUUAAUAUUUUGAAAACUUUCAAGGGAAUAAGGAUAUAUGGAUCCUCAUCUCUCAGUAAGUUAAACUGUAAGCCAGUCCCCCUCACUAUCCACUUAAUCUACUGAAUCCUUCUUGAAAAGUCAACAGACCAUCCCCGUGAGCACCACAAAUUUGCUUGGGGUGAAGUGAGGAUUCAUGUAUGAGACCAAAAGUCCAGAGAUGUAUUUAGCAACAUUUCCAGUGUAAGAGAUUUUUUUAAAUCACAUAUACAAACUAAGGCAUUUUCCUCCCACUUGCACAAAACAGGAUCUGCCCCGACGAAAUGGAAUCUUUGAAUAUCUCAAACUAAAAUUUUUAAAGUGAGUGAAGUUUCACUAUUCCCUCAGCUGAAGAUGUUCAAAGAUCUGGUUCAUGUGUAAUACGGAAUAUUUGCAUAGUAUUUUACAGUUUUCACAGCCUUUCUACUUACAUUGUGUGGUCAGAUUUUCCAGCUCCCUAGUGAGACGGAAUUAUUAUCAUCCCUGUGUCACAGAUGAAAAAACGGAGGCACAGGGGGAGUAUCUUGCCCAAGAUCGCAAUGAAAGCAGCACGUCCACCUCUGACUUCAAAUCGUGUGUGCUCUUUUCACUUAUCCUAUGUUAUCUACCCUAAAGGCAAGUCUUCCCCCAACUGCACACCUCAAGUCCUUUCACAUGUGUAACUAGGUCUGGACAAGCAGGAAUUUCUGGCCCUUUUCCCAAUUCCCGUGGGAGGAGAUGGGAAAGGUGCUUCUUUUAUCCUUGCCUUUCCAAGACAACAAGAAAGGCUUCUCCCCAUGGUGCCGGCCCCGGUACUAAGCUGGGGAAAGGGAUCCUUAGGGUGUAAACUGUCUUGCCACCUACUGUUUAAACCUCUGUGAAAGAUAAGCCUUCUGAAAUAGCCUCCUAUUCAACCCAGAAAUCAAUCCUAACUUGUAAAAGAAGUUAUGGACACGAGGACGAGAAACGGGAAAUCCUGCGGGAGAUAGCGCUUUCUCUUUUCCCCCAGAAAGUCUCCAGGCAGCAGCUCUGUGAGAUCCUUAAGCAAGGCCUCUGGCCUCGUCCACCAAGAACCUGCCAGAGUUCCUUCCAGAGGCCCACCAACAGGUGCUCAGCAGAAUCUGCACUGAGGAGCAUUGGAAAGAUCUGACCUACCUGCCAACAUCCUACCAGAACCUGAAAGUCACCAAUUGGGAUUUAUGUCUUCGGAUCCUGAAGUUUUAACCACUGACAAUGUUGAAUUUUACCUAAGCCCUGUGCUUCUGGAAAACAGGGAAGGUCAAGACAUCCCCUACUGUUUUAAUCAAUUCAGGCUGCUAUAGCAAAAAUACCAGAGACUGGGUGGCUUAAACAACAAACAUUUAUUUCUCACAGUUCUGGAGGCUGGAGGUCUGAGAUCAGGGUGCCAGCAUGGCUGGGUUCUGGUGAGGGACCUCUUCCUGAUUACAUCUUCACACGGCCUUUCCCUGGCGUGUGCACAUAGGAAAAGAGACCCCCAUGUCUUCUUCUCUUUUUAAAAGAGCACUAAUCCCGUCAUGGGGGCUCUAACCCGGUCCUACCUCCAAAUACCAUUACUUUGGGGAUUAAUAUUUCAACAUAUGAAUGAGGGAGAGGGCACAAACAUCCUUUUGUGUUGUGGAAAAUGGUUUAGCACAAAAAACCACCCUUCCCCAUAUGACUGAGAAAAGACUCACAGAUGCAUCCUUGCUUAUCUAUGGCAAGGCUAGACACCUUCCAAAUUCCCAUUUUUUGCUUCAUAAAUGAUUAGCUGAACUGUUUCAUCCUCACUGAUCAAUAGGACAAAAUAAGAAGUUAACCAAACUUGGCUGGACGUGGUGGCUCCCACCUGUAAUCCCAGCACUUUGGGAGGAUGAGGCGGAUGGAUUACUUGAGGUCAGGAGUUCGAGACCAGCCUGGCCAACUUUAGUAGAAAGUGAAACCCCUUUCUACUAAAAAUACAAAAAUUAGCCGGGCGUGGUGGUGCACACCCGUAGUCCCAGCUACUCGGGAGGCUAAGGCAGGAGAAUUGCUUGAACCCAGGGGGUGGAGGCUGCGGUGAGCCGAGAUCACACCACCGCACUCCAGCCUGGGUGACAGAGCAAGACUAUCUCAAAAAAAAAAGUAAAAGAAAUUAACUUGGUUAAACUUCUCUCCUUCCCACAAGCCUCUGAACUUUGACCCACUCUCAGCCUCAACCAGCAGACAGCCCCUCCAGAGAACAGGCUGACCUCAGGGUAAAAUGUUCUCUGAUGUACUAUCUGGUCAUGUCACUCUUUCAUCCCACUUCCCCACACCACAAUUCUUUCUAGCCUUGUUUAUUCCUCUUUAUAAAAGAAAACUCUUAUUCGCCUAACUCCUGAGACAAUCGCAAAUCUUAUGGUCAGUAAUUCUCCCUGUUGCAACAGUCCCUCCCCAUUCUCAUUUCUCACCCCCACAGACACACCCCACCAACAGUAAUCCUUUUGAAUAAAGGCUGUCCUUGCUAAGUCUGGAUUUAUUUUGACACCAUCUUUAAGAGUUUCCUCUAAGAAUAUAAGUGACCCUAUGAGAGGGCACUGUAAGUCUCAGUUAACGUUUUGUUGAAGAUUAAUUUAUCCCUGUUUGACUAAAGGGGAGGAAGGCAGACAAGAAUACUAUGAGAACCUACCAGACACUAGACAUAGCCCUGGAUAUUACACAUACUUGAUUUCAUGUAAUUCUUGAGGUUCAAAGAUACAAAAUGAUUUCCCAAAGACCCUACAGAGGCCAGACUGAAACCUAGGUCAUUAACUUGGAAUCAUAGGUUCAACACAGACAAUAGCUCCCCACAAAAUUUUAAAGAUCCCAGAGUCCAGCUCCUGCCUGGUCAGGUUGGGGAAACUAGGGUCAACCAACAUGCUAAUGACAGAAGAGCUCAGAAAAGAGCCCAAAUCUUCCACCCCAGGCUCCAUCUCAUUCCAGCACAACCACAGCUACCACUUUUCACCAGCUUCACAGCUCUGUCUUGUUGUCAGCCUUAUUAGAACUGCUCUCUGCUGAGUUAGUCUAGACAAUUUCCAAGAAAGUUCAGAGGGCUCCCAAGAAGAUCCCCAACCAAGGUAAUCAAAGGAUUUCAAGUGAAGUCAGAACACACAGGAGCAAAGAAGCAACUCAGCUGGAUCCAUUUAACAUUGAUUGAGCACCUACAGCUUGUUAUGGCUAUAGUCUCCACAUGGCUUCUGACCAGUCAGGACUAUGGGACUAUACCAUAAUGCUGGGAGCUUGAGCUGUAACACAGGCA